rnacentral:snoRNA from 1 species
CUGUCUCAAAAAAAAGGAAAAAAACUGUGAAACCCAGAGCUCUUCACGCUGUGACCAAAGAUGAAAGUUCUCUAUAGGAUGCCAUAGCACUCAUGUUCGGUGCUAUGUUUUCCCCAGGAGAUAUAAAA